AUGCAAUCCUCUGCUGGUAUUCCAUCUACAGAUAACUUUGUAAAUGUUGCAACUACCAUCGCAGAAUCCUUUAAAGAAUCACGGAACACGAAAAGUAUCGAUUCUGAGACUGAGUACAUUGGUAGUCAUCCAUCUGAAUACUUUGCGUAUGAGAAUCCCGCUUUGAAAAUCGACACCACAGACUUAAGUAGUAGAUUCUUAACAGAGAGAGAAAGUGGUAUCUUUGAUAAGAGGUAUUCAGAAUGCUUGAAUGAAAUUCCGCCCAUCACUAUCCCUCGGAAAACUAUCCAUGAACGCUCUGCAUCCUUACCGUGCUCUGAGCUGUCAGACGAAAGUAUAAGAACUCGAAAAAGAAUUUUUGAGUCUCAAAUAAAAAAAGAAAUGGUUGUGGACCAAUUAAUGACUCAGUUGGAAGAAGAAUCAUCUCUAGAAUACAAAACUAUCUCAGACACUGAGCAAAGAGUUGCAGAAGUAACUCAAGAGGACAUGAUAAAUAGGCAGAUUCAUACGCAUAUUUUCCGUUCUGAGAUUAACGAGCAGAUUGAUUCCUCCGUUCCUGAACACAAACAAAUAGGCCUAGAAAAAACGGUCAAUGAGACCCAGUCAUCAGAAACCAUCGAAGCCCCUUAUGAUGAUGCGAUCCAAGUGGUCAGUUCAGAGGUUGUGAAUGAAAUCAUAUCAGAAUCUAUGCACCAAGUAAGUCACCUAAGCAGCUACGACGAAUCUAAUUCAUCUACUAAUCUUCCAGAGACGUCAUUAGAACCACUCUCUUCAAAUCUGAAAGCCUGGCCAAAGGACAAUGGGGAAGUGCACAUUGAUAAAAGUGAACUGGAAUCAACGGAAAAAGGAAUAGAAAGGGAAGGACCAGAUCUUAGAACAUUUGACCCAGACAAAGAACUGGUACCCUCUAUCACUUACUCUUUAUCUGGGAAGCAACGAACAGACAGUUCAGACCAAAGUGUUGACACGCAGUCCGAAUCUGAUGUUACCCCGGCUGACUCCAAGGACAAGCAGAUUUGGGAUACCAUAGAAUAUGACAUUGCAGCAAGUACCUUAAUCGAUAAACAAGUAGUAUGUACGCCCGAAGAGCAUGUACCAGACACAGUCUGGGAAGUUCCAAUUCAAGAAAAUGAGCAAGAAGUUUAUGAUCAAGGUGUACCGAUCGAAGCUCAAGAGCAUUUUGAGGGUGGACUAACUGAAAAAAUGAUCGAAACCUCGAGCGUUAACGAGAAAGAAAUACGCACAAUGGCAGAAGGAGUCAUAGCAGACAUUGAAUCGGUGUUGAGUGGGAAAAACAUGGAUUUCCUGUCAUCAGAUGCUGCACAAUCCAAAUUAUCAGAAUUUUUGGAAUCGAUGCAUGAAUCUGGAGUAGACAAAUCUGUCAGUAAAGAUUUAAUUGAAUCAGUAAUUGCUAAAAAGCAUAGAGAAAACAUGCAAAGAAUGUUUAGAACAGACACGAACACAUCAAGUGUCGAGAUUACUGACGAAGACCUCCGGAGCACUGGUGUUGAAACUGAUUUAUCUCUGCAAGACUGCAAAGUUCAGGGGUCACUUGAAACUCGAAGAAUAAGUUCUUAUGAAGAUUUAAGUGCUGAUGUGUUUGAGAAGUCUCCAGAGGAUGCACCACAGGUUGAAAGCUCCACAGAAUUAGAAGAUGCAUCAAGACUUGGGGAAAAAAAGACGACGCAACCUCCAUUGAAAGCAAAAGACAAAGAAAGCGAUAUCUGCACAAGCAAGCCAACUUCUGCAUCAAGUUUAGAGAGUGCAGUGUUACAAAUAAAUAAACCUGAUAAAGACAUCAUCGUUUUUACAGAAAAUAGUGAACAUACGCCCCCAUCUACUAAAAUAAUUGAAAGUGAUGCACCACUAGAUAAAUUGAUCGCAAAUGCACCGGAGAUCCCAUUAGAUAUACGAAGUACACAGACAUCAAACGCAGUAAAAACGAGCGGUCUAACAGUUCCGCUGGAUAUUGAAAUCAGUCAGAUCUCUGCAGCCAGUAAUGAAUUUGGUCCAUCAGUUCAUCAAUCUUCAGAGGAAGGAGUUAUUAGCUGCCCCGAUUCUUCUGGGAUGUUUGAAGGCACCAAAGAAGAACUCUCAAGAAUCGAGUCACGAAAAAAAGAUGUAGAAGUAGGCGAGGCGGUUUUCCUUGAUGCCUGUCCAGAAACCACGCCAUCAUUAAAAGAACACUCUGAAGAGACAAAGUGCAGUAUUUCAGAAUCAGUCCUUCCUGAAGAAAUUGAUGAACCAAUCUCUGAAUCUAGUGGCGUUGAUGACGACCAGUUGGUCGCUCUAUCAGAUCCUCCAAAAAAAUUGCUCAAAAAACGAUCAAAAGACAUGAAAAAAACUGGUAAUCGAAGAUCUGGAGCUGAUCAUGAUGUGAAUUCUAGUUCUAGUGAGAGCAAUUAUCAAUCAUGUGAACAGACUGACACAAAAACACCUAGCAGGCCUCUUUCCUCUGAUGUAGAGGCUCUUUUAACAGGUACUGCUGGAACAGCAUGCUCUUCGGAGUAUGAAUCAGCAAUGUCACGAGAGAUUUCCUCUCGAUCCAACAUUGGAACCUCAUCACACGAUUAUCACACUGCAGUAAGCUCUUUAAGCUCUAGAGAAUCAAUGAAAUCUUUGAGCUCUGAAAGUUCAGGAAAUUUGGCUAGUGUAGAGAUAUCAAGCGAAGCGUCUGAAACUCUGAUUGCCUCAACACUAGAACUUGACAGAGAUGAUGUAAUGUCUGCCACAACUAUUGAUGAAGACGAGUUCAAAUCCCAGCAAGUAUUUGAGCCGUAUGAAACAGACAUUCCGGCUCAUAUAAUUUGCGGCGAUUCAUCUCCUUUCAAGACUCACAAACAAGAUACCUACGAUGACGAUUACGAUAGUGAAGGAAUGCGAUAUCCAGGAGGGUCUCAAAGAAUGAAAAGAUCUCAUGAAAUGACCUUUCAGCCUGAACCGCAUGCAGUCAUUCCCGAACAUUCAAUGAGUGAUUCUGUUUCACAAGUGGCGACUCUUGUAUCGAGCACUGAAGAUCCUAUAGGGAGUAUUGCAUCAAGUUCCUCAGAUAUGGCAUCUAGCCGUUGUACCGUUAUUGAGAUGGAAAAGAAAUGUGCAACAGGGCCAUCUUCAGAACAAUGGAGUUUAAAUAUAUCUGGCUCCUCAGACCAAUUCAGCCUCUCAUCAGAAUCAAAGGAAGAAUUUUCAUUAACCCCACUACCGUAG
rnacentral:lncRNA from 1 species